rnacentral:rRNA from 1 species
AAGUCGAACGAACUCUGGUAUUGAUUGGUGCUUGCAUCAUGAUUUACAUUUGAGUGAGUGGCGAACUGGUGAGUAACACGUGGGAAACCUGCCCAGAAGCGGGGGAUAACACCUGGAAACAGAUGCUAAUACCGCAUAACAACUUGGACCGCAUGGUCCGAGUUUGAAAGAUGGCUUCGGCUAUCACUUUUGGAUGGUCCCGCGGCGUAUUAGCUAGAUGGUGGGGUAACGGCUCACCAUGGCAAUGAUACGUAGCCGACCUGAGAGGGUAAUCGGCCACAUUGGGACUGAGACACGGCCCAAACUCCUACGGGAGGCAGCAGUAGGGAAUCUUCCACAAUGGACGAAAGUCUGAUGGAGCAACGCCGCGUGAGUGAAGAAGGGUUUCGGCUCGUAAAACUCUGUUGUUAAAGAAGAACAUAUCUGAGAGUAACUGUUCAGGUAUUGACGGUAUUUAACCAGAAAGCCACGGCUAACUACGUGCCAGCAGCCGCGGUAAUACGUAGGUGGCAAGCGUUGUCCGGAUUUAUUGGGCGUAAAGCGAGCGCAGGCGGUUUUUUAAGUCUGAUGUGAAAGCCUUCGGCUCAACCGAAGAAGUGCAUCGGAAACUGGGAAACUUGAGUGCAGAAGAGGACAGUGGAACUCCAUGUGUAGCGGUGAAAUGCGUAGAUAUAUGGAAGAACACCAGUGGCGAAGGCGGCUGUCUGGUCUGUAACUGACGCUGAGGCUCGAAAGUAUGGGUAGCAAACAGGAUUAGAUACCCUGGUAGUCCAUACCGUAAACGAUGAAUGCUAAGUGUUGGAGGGUUUYCGCCCUUYAGUGCYKSAGCYAACGCAUUAAGCAUUCCGCCUGGGGAGUACGGCCGCAAGGCUGAAACUCAAAGGAAUUGACGGGGGCCCGCACAAGCGGUGGAGCAUGUGGUUUAAUUCGAAGCUACGCGAAGAACCUUACCAGGUCUUGACAUACUAUGCAAAUCUAAGAGAUUAGACGUUCCCUUCGGGGACAUGGAUACAGGUGGUGCAUGGUUGUCGUCAGCUCGUGUCGUGAGAUGUUGGGUUAAGUCCCGCAACGAGCGCAACCCUUAUUAUCAGUUGCCAGCAUUAAGUUGGGCACUCUGGUGAGACUGCCGGUGACAAACCGGAGGAAGGUGGGGAUGACGUCAAAUCAUCAUGCCCCUUAUGACCUGGGCUACACACGUGCUACAAUGGAUGGUACAACGAGUUGCGAACUCGCGAGAGUAAGCUAAUCUCUUAAAGCCAUUCUCAGUUCGGAUUGUAGGCUGCAACUCGCCUACAUGAAGUCGGAAUCGCUAGUAAUCGCGGAUCAGCAUGCCGCGGUGAAUACGUUCCCGGGCCUUGUACACACCGCCCGUCACACCAUGAGAGUUUGUAACACCCAAAGUCGGUGGGGUAACCUUUUAGGAACC